UAUAGAUGGAUCCGCGCUGCAUUAGCUAGUUGGUAAGGUAACGGCUUACCAAGGCAACGAUGCAUAGCCGACCUGAGAGGGUGAUCGGCCACACUGGAACUGAGACACGGUCCAGACUCCUACGGGAGGCAGCAGUAGGGAAUCUUCCGCAAUGGGCGAAAGCCUGACGGAGCAACGCCGCGUGAGUGAUGAAGGUCUUCGGAUCGUAAAACUCUGUUAUUAGGGAAGAACAUAUGUGUAAGUAACUGUGCACAUCUUGACGGUACCUAAUCAGAAAGCCACGGCUAACUACGUGCCAGCAGCCGCGGUAAUACGUAGGUGGCAAGCGUUAUCCGGAAUUAUUGGGCGUAAAGCGCGCGUAGGCGGUUUUUUAAGUCUGAUGUGAAAGCCCACGGCUCAACCGUGGAGGGUCAUUGGAAACUGGAAAACUUGAGUGCAGAAGAGGAAAGUGGAAUUCCAUGUGUAGCGGUGAAAUGCGCAGAGAUAUGGAGGAACACCAGUGGCGAAGGCGACUUUCUGGUCUGUAACUGACGCUGAUGUGCGAAAGCGUGGGGAUCAAACAGGAUUAGAUACCCUGGUAGUCCACGCCGUAAACGAUGAGUGCUAAGUGUUAGGGGGUUUCCGCCCCUUAGUGCUGCAGCUAACGCAUUAAGC
rnacentral:rRNA from 1 species